UGAGGAAUAUUGCGCAAUGGAGGCAACUCUGACGCAGCCAUGCCGCGUGAAGGAUGAAGGUCCUAUGGAUUGUAAACUUCUUUUGUACGGGAAUAAAAACUUCUACGUGUAGGAGCUUGAAGGUACCGUAAGAAUAAGCACCGGCUAACUCCGUGCCAGCAGCCGCGGUAAUACGGAGGGUGCAAGCGUUAUCCGGAUUUAUUGGGUUUAAAGGGUCCGUAGGCGGAUCGUUAAGUCAGUGGUGAAAGCUCUCGGCUCAACCGAGAAACUGCCAUUGAUACUGGCGAUCUUGAAUAUGUAUGAAGUUGGCGGAAUGUGUGGUGUAGCGGUGAAAUGCUUAGAUAUCACACAGAACACCGAUUGCGAAGGCAGCUGGCUAAUACAUGAUUGACGCUGAGGG
rnacentral:rRNA from 1 species